GGCGGCGUAGCUCAGUUGGUUAGAGCACCGGAAUCAUAAUCCGGGUGUCCGGGGUUCGAGUCCCUGCGCCGCUACAA
rnacentral:tRNA from 1 species